CACAUCAUGGCUUCGCUGCUUCGAUUUGAAAAAUAGUGGAGGGAGAUGAGUCCGAGACUUAGAGCAAAAGCUUCCAAAGUAUGGGAGUAUUUCAGGCCAACUGGUAAAAGAUUUGUCUGUACACUCUGUCAAACUUCACUUGGAAACACACAGGAGUUGUUCAAGACGUACGGAGCGUUUUUUUCUCUCCUCCAUGUCACCUCAGGGGCUCCGUAAAGAUGCACCCACAGAAAAGGAAAAUACAACGAAGCAGUACGCCGUCUUCACAACUCGGAGACAAAUUGUAGCAGGCGCUAUGAACCGGAGCAAGGGCCAUGACCUAUAUUUGCUCGGAGCUAUGUCUGCAAGUCCAGAU